GAUGAACGCUGGCGGCGUGCCUAAUACAUGCAAGUCGAGCGAACGGACCAGAAGCUUGCUUCUCGGAUGUUAGCCGCGGGCGGGUGAGUAACACGUGGAUAACCUCCCUAUAAGACUGGGAUAACUUCGGGAAACCGUAUCUAAUACCAGAUGAUAUUUUGAUCCGCAUGGUUCAAUAGUGAGAGACGGUCUUGCUGUCACUUAUAGAUGGUUCCGGGCUUCAUUAGCUAGUUGUUAAGGUAACGGCUUACCAAGGCAACGAUGCAUAGCCGACCUGAGAGGGUGAUCGGCCACCUUAGAACUGAGCCACGGUCCAGACUACUACGAGAGGCAGCAGACGGGAAUCUGCGGCAAUGGGCGAAAGCCUGACAGAGCAACGCAGCGUGUGUGACGGAAGUGUUGGGAUCGGGAAACCGUGUUAUUAGGGGAGAACAGAUGUGUAAGUAACUGUGCAGAUUUUGACGGUACCUAAUCAGAAAGCCACGGCUAACUACGUG
rnacentral:rRNA from 1 species